GUUGGUCCACGUCGAUACAAGGUGUCUGCUUCACUCUUAAUUGUCCUGUCCUUCGAGUUUCCUUCUUCUUCGCUGUCCUCGGUCGACCAGUGGGGUACCUGCGAUUCUGCUCCGACGCUCAAGUCAGUAAUCUCUCUCAGUGAGGAUCUCUUAUCAUAUAACAAAAACAUACCUUUUUCUCUCUCUUUCUCUUCUUUUGUAUGUUCCUCUUGGGCUUGGGCCCUCUGGAUUGUUAGUGGUUCGCGACGUGUUUUGUGGUUCUGGGGUCGUGUUAGAUGGUUUCCUGGGAUCUAGGGGAUGUUCCCGA
rnacentral:lncRNA from 1 species